rnacentral:rRNA from 1 species
AUUGAACGCUGGCGGCAGGCCUAACACAUGCAAGUCGAACGAGUGGCGGAAGGGUGAGUAAUGUAUGGGAAACUGCCUGAUGGAGGGGGAUAACUAAUGGAAACGGUAGCUAAUACCGCAUACCAACAGACAUGCCCAGAUGGUAUUAGCAAGUUGGUGGGGUAACGGCUCACCAAGGCGACGAUCCCUAGCUGGUCUGAGAGGAUGACCAGCCACACUGGAACGUAGACACGGUCCAGACUCCUACGGGAGGCAGCAGUGGGGAAUAUUGCACAAUGGGCGCAAGCCUGAUGCAGCCAUGCCGCGUGUAUGAAGAAGGCCUUCGGGUUGUAAAGUACUUUCAGCGGGGAGGCGUUACCCGCAGAAGAAGCACCGGCUAACUCCGUGCCAGCAGCCGCGGUAAUUC